GGGCCCGUAGCUCAGCUGGGAGAGCGCUACAAUGGCAUUGUAGAGGUCAAGAGUUCGAUCCUCUUCGGGUCCA
rnacentral:tRNA from 1 species